UUACGAACAUAUCACGUUGAAACACGGGUUUUCAGAGGAUCACCGAAGUUAAGCAACGUCGAGACUGGUUAGUACCUAUAUGAGUAACCGCUUGGAAAUACCGGGUGCUGUAAG